rnacentral:rRNA from 1 species
UACGGAGGAUGCAAGCGUUAUCCGGAAUCAUUGGGCUUAAAGGGUGCGUAGGCGGUUUAGUAAGUCAGGGGUGAAAUCCCAUCGCUCAACGGUGGAACGGCCAUUGAUACUGCUGAACUUGAAUUAUUAGGAAGUAACUAGAAUAUGUAGUGUAGCGGUGAAAUGCUUAGAGAUUACAUGGAAUACCAAUUGCGAAGGCAGGUUACUACUAAUGGAUUGACGCUGAUGGACGAAAGCGUGGGUAGCGAACAGG